rnacentral:misc_RNA from 1 species
CGUUGCGUCGGUCGCGCG